GAGUUUGAUCCUGGCUCAGAACGAACGCUGGCGGCGUGGAUAAGACAUGCAAGUCGAACGGGAGAAUUGCUAGCUUGCUAAUAAUUCUCUAGCGGCGCACGGGUGAGUAACACGUGAGUAACCUGCCCCCGAGAGCGGGAUAGCCCUGGGAAACUGGGAUUAAUACCGCAUAGUAUCGAAAGAUUAAAGCAGCAAUGCGCUUGGGGAUGGGCUCGCGGCCUAUUAGUUAGUUGGUGAGGUAACGGCUCACCAAGGCGAUGACGGGUAGCCGGUCUGAGAGGAUGUCCGGCCACACUGGAACUGAGACACGGUCCAGACACCUACGGGUGGCAGCAGUCGAGAAUCAUUCACAAUGGGGGAAACCCUGAUGGUGCGACGCCGCGUGGGGGAAUGAAGGUCUUCGGAUUGUAAACCCCUGUCAUGUGGGAGCAAAAUUAAAAAGAUAGUACCACAAGAGGAAGAGACGGCUAACUCUGUGGCAGCCGCGCCGUAA
rnacentral:rRNA from 1 species